rnacentral:rRNA from 1 species
UACGAAGGGGGGCUAGCGUUGCUCGGAAUCACUGGGCGUAAAGGGCGCGUAGGCGGCCGAUCAAGUCAGAGGUGAAAAGCCCAGGGCUCAACCCUGGAAUUGCCUUUGAUACUGUUCGGCUAGAGACCGGAAGAGGUUAGUGGAACUGCGAGUGUAGAGGUGAAAUUCGUAGAUAUCGCAAGAACACCGGUGGCGAAGGCGGCUCACUGGCUCGUUUUCUGACGCUCAGGCGCGACAGCGUGGGGGAUCAAAACAGG